rnacentral:lncRNA from 1 species
CAAAAGUGGAAACCAGAGGUGUCAUUUCCCAAACAUGCCUACUACAUUGCAAAAAACUAUGAGGCCUGGAUAACAGGAAACAACAUUCAAACCUUGGAAGAACUGAACCUCCUCAUACAAAUGGAGCAGUUCUUGGAUGGUGUUCCUGAGGACAUCACACGGUACAUACAAGAUGGAAAACCCAAAGAUCUCGCUGAGGCGGGGGAGAUUGGAGCCAAAUGGAUGGAACUGGCAGAAAGCAAGAAAGCUACUGUCAAGGGGAACGAUUACCCCAGGGGGCACACAGACCAUAAACCCUACAACCGAGGACAGCCAAAGACCCUACAUACCACCCAAGUAAAGCCACAGAUACCCUACUCUUCAACCUCACCAGUCUCCAGUAACUCACCUCGGCCCAGUGACCCAUCAGAUGGAAGAUGCUUUAAGUGUAAUGAACUGGGACAUAUCAAGGCCAACUGUCCCAAGAACACCAUGCGAGUGCAAUUCAUUACACCACCAUCACACCAAAGAUCCCCAGGCCCGGAUGCCUCUCAAAUACCCUUGGAGCGAAGGGAAAAUUUGAGAGUGGGCGGAAAGAAGGUUACUGCGUGGAGAGACACGGGGGCACAAGUGUCAGCUAUCCACCAAUCCUUCGUUGACCCCAAAUUCAUCAACCCAAAGGCCAAAGUUACAAUUUACCCCUUCAUGUCACAAGCUGUAGACUUGCCUACAGCUCAACUGCCUGUCCAGUACAAAGGCUGGUCAGGAAUGUGGACUUUUGCAGUCUAUGACAAUUAUCCUAUCCCCAUGCUACUGGGGGAAGACUUGGCCAACCAGGUGAGGCGGGCCAAGAGAGUGGGAAUGGUUACACGUAGCCAAACCAGGCAAGCUUCCAGACCCAUUCCUGUUCCUGAGCCGUCCACAGAGGCCCCGUCUGUGUUACCAGAGACCCAGACAGAGGUAGUGGACCCGGAUUCCAUGCCUACCACUGAAACAGCCACAACACCUCCAGUCAUUUCGAUGGCGUGGGUUCGGAUCCCACCGCUGCCACCAUGUCAUAACCUUAGUCCCAGAUUUGGACCUUAGCGUCCAAAUAAUGGUGGCAGCAAGUACCAGGUCCAAGCUGGUAGCUAAG